UGCCGUUCAUUCUCGAAAGAUGAGAACAUUCUCGAAGCAUUACAAAAUACACAUGGAGCAAAUGGCUAAUAUUAAUUUUAUAUUAUAUUAUUAUAUUGUGGGGACAGGAUCACCGUAUCCAUCUAAUGGACAAUAUCCAUAUGUUAAAUGUAUCUGACUCAGAUUCAGGCUCGGACAUGGACAUAAUGUCAUAGGAUAUUCAAGGGAUAC
rnacentral:lncRNA from 1 species